UCAUUACAAACUCCUUAAAUUAAAACACAUAAAUAAAGUAAAAUUUAUCUAACACAAAGUCCAAUUAAAAUACAUGAAUAUUAAUUUUAAGAAAAGAAUAAAGUAUGUUGCUUCCCCAAAUGUUAGUGCUAAUAACUUCACUCUUGAAUAAAUUUCCAUCUUUAUGUGCCUAAAAAAAGAAAACAAAUGUAAUUUUAGUACUUAUUUUUUUUAUCAAAUGAAUUAGAAAACAUAUAUUUUAAAUGUUAUUAAUAAAUUAAAUAUUAAUAAAAUAAUAAAAAAAAUAGUGAUUGCGAUACUUACUCCAAUUCUUCUUUGGCUACAACCACAAGAAUUCAGACCAAGAGAUAUAAAAUUCUGAGUAGUUAACCUCUCAAAAAUCAAAGAAGAGUAGAUAAGAAAUUUAAUACCAGUACCGGAAAAUUAAAAAUAAAUAGGAACAUACUAAUACAUACAUGUCAUAUAGCACAUGGAGAAAUCCAAAUUUGUAAUGUCCUAAAUACAUAUUGAAAGUAAAGUAGAUUGUAUACCUUGUCUUAAGAUGUUUAUCAUCCUAGAUUUGAUCUUCUAUGGUAUUAAAUCAACAAAUUGUUUUUUGGAGAAGACACACUCUCUCUCACACACACAGAGAGGAUGAAAAUAUAGAAGAUUUUACUUAGGCAGGGGUUUGAUUGGGGUAUGAAGUGCAUAUA
rnacentral:lncRNA from 1 species